AUUUCCUUACCCUGUUUACAGAGGAAGAAGAGGAGGAAGAAGAAGAGAAGAUGAAGAGAAGAUGAAGAGGAAGAAGAGGAGGAGGAGGAUAAGGACUUGGUUGGUGUAGCAGUGCCGGGAGGUUCCAUAACACAGGGCACUCCUCACCUCAACAACAGUCUCUUCACCGACAAGUAAUUCUUCACCAACAAGCUUUUCAGCAGCUUGGAGAAAUAGAGGAAGAAGAGGAGGAAGAAGAAGAGAAGAUGAAGAGGAAGAAGAGGAGGAGGAGGAUAAGGACUUGACACUACCAAACGAAGAAGAGGAGGAGGAGGAGGAGGACUGGGAAGAAGACGAGGAACACAGGAGGAGCCCAUUGAGACAAGAAGAAGAAGAAGAGGAAGAAGAGGAAGAGGAAGACUGACAGACAGACAUUCCAUUGAGACAAGAAGAAGAAGAAGAGGAAGAAGAGGAAGAGGAAGACUGACAGACAGACAUUCCAUUGAGACUAGAAGAAGAAGAAGAGGAAGAGGAAGAGGAAGACUGACAGACAGACAUUCCAUUGAGACAAGAAGAAGAAGAGGAAGAAGAGGAAGAGGAAGACUGACAGACAGACAUUCCAUUGGUGAGUGUUAAAUAAUUUUCCUUCCUUUCUUCCUUCCUUCCUGGCUCUUGGAUAGGUUAGGUUAAAGGGGCUGAUUAUUAAACAUUUCAACGCCCAAACUCACUUCUGUAAGGCUUUCAUAGUAGGGCUUUUUGGGCAUGUCCUGGGGUAGUUUUAUGACCCUUGAGGUAGUGUGACCCUUCCCCUGUACCGUGAACCUAAAGAAACACAUUUGACGAGGCUUUGGGAGGAGUUUUUGGCAUUCCCACGGAUAGUUCUGGCACGUGAGGAAGGGCGUCAGAUGGUACAUGGCGGACACGUUCUUUUCCUGCACAGAAGGGCGCGCACACACACACACACACACACACACACACACACACACACAGAAAAAGGGCUUCAAAGUACGGCCUUUCUUUCCGUACUUUCUUGCGCAAAAAAUACAUGAGAGGUCGUUAAAAAUAACAGAAAGUUAUAGUGUGACAAGCUUUCGUAGGAGUUGUGAGCAUUUCCAGGGGUAGUCUGAUGACCUUGGUGGUAAUUUUAACUUUCUCUUUACCAUGAAUCUUAAAAAAAGACACGUGAGAACUUGAUUGAUCUUAUUGACCUUUGGAAGAGGCUGACGUUAGGGGCGGAAGGGUCUGCCUCAUAGAUCUCAGGAAGGAAAGUUUGGGACGUACCUUGAAUCGGCUCCUUGACGACAGUACACUCCAUGGCUGGGGUUCCUUCCUCCUUCUCUUCCUCAAAUUCCAAACUUUCCUCUCAUAUCUUAAUUUUUCCUCCUCUGUGAUGUGUGUUUUUCUCUCUCUCUCUCUCUCUCUCUCUCUCUCUCUCUCUCUCUCUCUCUCUCUCUCUCUCUCUCUCU